GAUGAACGCUGGCGGCGUGCCUAAUACAUGCAAGUCGAGCGAACUGAUUAGAAGCUUGCUUCUAUGACGUUAGCGGCGGACGGGUGAGUAACACGUGGGCAACCUGCCUGUAAGACUGGGAUAACUUCGGGAAACCGAAGCUAAUACCGGAUAGGAUCUUCUCCUUCAUGGGAGAUGAUUGAAAGAUGGUUUCGGCUAUCACUUACAGAUGGGCCCGCGGUGCAUUAGCUAGUUGGUGAGGUAACGGCUCACCAAGGCAACGAUGCAUAGCCGACCUGAGAGGGUGAUCGGCCACACUGGGACUGAGACACGGCCCAGACUCCUACGGGAGGCAGCAGUAGGGAAUCUUCCGCAAUGGACGAGAGUCUGACGGAGCAACGCCGCGUAAGUGAUGAAGGCUUUCGGGUCGUAAAACUCUGUUGUUAGGGAAGAACAAGUACGAGAGUAACUGCUCGUACCUUGACGGUACCUAACCAGAAAGCCACGGCUAACUACGUGCCAGCCGCCGCGGUAAUAC
rnacentral:rRNA from 1 species